UACGGAGUGUGCAAGCGUUACUCGGAAUCACUGGGCAUAAAGCGCGCGUAGGCGGGUUUUCAAGUCGGUUGUGAAAUCCCUCAGCUCAACUGAGGAACUGCAUCCGAUACUGUCUGUCUUGAGGACGAGAGGGGAAAGUGGAACUUCUGGUGGAGCGGUGAAAUGCGUAGAUAUCAGAAGGAACGCCGGUGGCGAAAGCGACUUUCUGGCUCGUAUCUGACGCUGAGGCGCGAAAGCCAGGGGAGCAAACGGG
rnacentral:rRNA from 1 species